AUGAAGAACGUAGCGAAAUGCGAUAAGUAAUGUGAAUUGCAGAAUUCAGUGAAUCAUCGAAUCUUUGAACGCACAUUGCGCCCGCCAGUAUUCUGGCGGGCAUGCCUGUCUGAGCGUCAUUUCAACCCUCAUGCCCCUAGGGCGUGGUGUUGGGGAUCGGCCAAAGCCCGCGAGGGACGGCCGGCCCCUAAAUCUAGUGGCGGACCCGUCGUGGCCUCCUCUGCGAAGUAGUGAUAUUCCGCAUCGGAGAGCGAUGAGCCCCUGCCGUUAAACCCCCAACUUUCCAAGGUUGACCUCAGAUCAGGUAGGAAUACCCGCUGAACUUAAGCAUAUCAAUAAGCGGAGGA
rnacentral:misc_RNA from 1 species